rnacentral:rRNA from 2 species
UUAAGCGACUAAGCGUACACGGUGGAUGCCCUGGCAGUCAGAGGCGAUGAAGGACGUGCUAAUCUGCGAAAAGCGCCGGCGAGGUGAUAUGAACCCUUGACCCGGCGAUGUCCGAAUGGGGAAACCCAGUGCAAUCCGUUGCACUAUCGUUAACUGAAUACAUAGGUUAACGAGGCGAACCGGGGGAACUGAAACAUCUAAGUACCCCGAGGAAAAGAAAUCAACCGAGAUUCCCCCAGUAGCGGCGAGCGAACGGGGAGCAGCCCGGAGUCUGAAUCAGCUUGUGUGUUAGUGGAACGGUCUGGAAAGUCCGACGGUACAGGGUGAUAGUCCCGUACACGAAAGCACACAUGCUGUGAACUCGAAGAGUAGGGCGGGACACGUGGUAUCCUGUCUGAAUAUGGGGGGACCAUCCUCCAAGGCUAAAUACUCCUGACUGACCGAUAGUGAACCAGUACCGUGAGGGAAAGGCGAAAAGAACCCCGGCGAGGGGAGUGAAAAAGAACCUGAAACCGUGUACGUACAAGCAGUGGGAGCCUCUUUAUGGGGUGACUGCGUACCUUUUGUAUAAUGGGUCAGCGACUUAUAUUCUGUAGCAAGGUUAACCGUAUAGGGGAGCCGAAGGGAAACCGAGUCUUAACUGGGCGUUAAGUUGCAGGGUAUAGACCCGAAACCCGGUGAUCUAGCCAUGGGCAGGUUGAAGGUUGGGUAACACUAACUGGAGGACCGAACCGACUAAUGUUGAAAAAUUAGCGGAUGACCUGUGGCUGGGGGUGAAAGGCCAAUCAAACCGGGAGAUAGCUGGUUCUCCCCGAAAGCUAUUUAGGUAGCGCCUCGUGAAUUCAUCUUCGGGGGUAGAGCACUGUUUCGGCUAGGGGGCCAUCCCGGCUUACCAACCCGAUGCAAACUACGAAUACCGAAGAAUGUUAUCACGGGAGACACACGGCGGGUGCUAACGUCCGUCGUGAAGAGGGAAACAACCCAGACCGCCAGCUAAGGUCCCAAAGUCAUGGUUAAGUGGGAAACGAUGUGGGAAGGCACAGACAGCCAGGAUGUUGGCUUAGAAGCAGCCAUCAUUUAAAGAAAGCGUAAUAGCUCACUGGUCGAGUCGGCCUGCGCGGAAGAUGUAACGGGGCUAAACCAUGCACCGAAGCUGCGGCAGCGACGCUUAUGCGUUGUUGGGUAGGGGAGCGUUCUGUAAGCCGUUGAAGGUGUGCUGUGAGGCAUGCUGGAGGUAUCAGAAGUGCGAAUGCUGACAUAAGUAACGAUAAAGCGGGUGAAAAGCCCGCUCGCCGGAAGACCAAGGGUUCCUGUCCAACGUUAAUCGGGGCAGGGUGAGUCGACCCCUAAGGCGAGGCCGAAAGGCGUAGUCGAUGGGAAACAGGUUAAUAUUCCUGUACUUGGUGUUACUGCGAAGGGGGGACGGAGAAGGCUAUGUCAGCCGGGCGACGGUUGUCCCGGUUUAAGCAUGUAGGCGGAGGUUCCAGGUAAAUCCGGUACCUUGUUAACGCUGAGGUGUGAUGACGAGGCACUACGGUGCUGAAGUGAUAAAUGCCCUGCUUCCAGGAAAAGCCUCUAAGCAUCAGGUAACACGAAAUCGUACCCCAAACCGACACAGGUGGUCAGGUAGAGAAUACCAAGGCGCUUGAGAGAACUCGGGUGAAGGAACUAGGCAAAAUGGUGCCGUAACUUCGGGAGAAGGCACGCUGAUGUGUAGGUGAAGCCCCUGCGGGUGGAGCUGAAAUCAGUCGAAGAUACCAGCUGGCUGCAACUGUUUAUUAAAAACACAGCACUGUGCAAACACGAAAGUGGACGUAUACGGUGUGACGCCUGCCCGGUGCCGGAAGGUUAAUUGAUGGGGUUAGCGGCAACGCGAAGCUCUUGAUCGAAGCCCCGGUAAACGGCGGCCGUAACUAUAACGGUCCUAAGGUAGCGAAAUUCCUUGUCGGGUAAGUUCCGACCUGCACGAAUGGCGUAAUGAUGGCCAGGCUGUCUCCACCCGAGACUCAGUGAAAUUGAACUCGCUGUGAAGAUGCAGUGUACCCGCGGCAAGACGGAAAGACCCCGUGAACCUUUACUAUAGCUUGACACUGAACACUGGUCCUUGAUGUGUAGGAUAGGUGGGAGGCUUUGAAGCGUGGACGCCAGUCUGCGUGGAGCCGCCCUUGAAAUACCACCCUUUAAUGGCUGGUGUUCUAACGUGGACCCGUAAUCCGGGUUGCGGACAGUGUCUGGUGGGUAGUUUGACUGGGGCGGUCUCCUCCCAAAGAGUAACGGAGGAGCACGAAGGUUGGCUAAUCCUGGUCGGACAUCAGGAGGUUAGUGCAAUGGCAUAAGCCAGCUUGACUGCGAGCGUGACGGCGCGAGCAGGUGCGAAAGCAGGUCAUAGUGAUCCGGUGGUUCUGAAUGGAAGGGCCAUCGCUCAACGGAUAAAAGGUACUCCGGGGAUAACAGGCUGAUACCGCCCAAGAGUUCAUAUCGACGGCGGUGUUUGGCACCUCGAUGUCGGCUCAUCACAUCCUGGGGCUGAAGUAGGUCCCAAGGGUAUGGCUGUUCGCCAUUUAAAGUGGUACGCGAGCUGGGUUUAGAACGUCGUGAGACAGUUCGGUCCCUAUCUGCCGUGGGCGCUGGAGAAUUGAGGGGGGCUGCUCCUAGUACGAGAGGACCGGAGUGGACGCAUCACUGGUGUUCGGGUUGUCAUGCCAAUGGCACUGCCCGGUAGCUAAAUGCGGAAGAGAUAAGUGCUGAAAGCAUCUAAGCACGAAACUUGCCCCGAGAUGAGUUCUCCCUGAGACUUUAAGUCUCCUGAAGGAACGUUGAAGACGACGACGUUGAUAGGUCGGGUGUGUAAGCGCAGCGAUGCGUUGAGCUAACCGAUACUAAUGAACCGUGAGGCUUAACCUU